UGUGUCAGUUACAGACAGAGAUAUCAAGUGGAUGCAUCUGGAUCCAGCACAUUCGCUGAUGUCACACCUACACAUCUGAGGUGAAAGGUGACAGAACUCGAGUGGUGUUUAGUCAGACCAGGAGACAUCCCAUCUGAGGUGAAAGGUGACAGAGUGGUGUUUAGUCAGACCAGGAGACAUCCCAUCUGAGGUGAAAGGUGACAGAGUGGUGUUUAGUCAGACCAGGAGACAUCCCAUCUGAGGUGAAAGGUGACAGAGUGGUGUUUAGUCAGACCAGGAGACAUCCCAUCUGAGGUGAAAGGUGACAGAGUGGUGUUUAGUCAGACCAGGAGACAUCCCAUCUGAGGUGAAAGGUGACAGAGUGGUGUUUAGUCAGACCAGGAGACAUCCCAUCUGAGGUGAAAGGUGACAGAGUGGUGUUUAGUCAGACCAGGAGACAUCCCAUCUGAGGUGAAAGGUGACAGAGUGGUGUUUAGUCAGACCAGGAGACAUCCCAUCUGAGGUGAAAGGUGACAGAGUGGUGUUUAGUCAGACCAGGAGACAUCCCAUCUGAGGUGAAAGGUGACAGAGUGGUGUUUAGUCAGACCAGGAGACAUCCCAUCUGAGGUGAAAGGUGACAGAGUGGUGUUUAGUCAGACCAGGAGACAUCCCAUCUGAGGUGAAAGGUGACAGAGUGGUGUUUAGUCAGACCAGGAGACAUCCCAUCUGAGGUGAAAGGUGACAGAGUGGUGUUUAGUCAGACCAGGAGACAUCCCAUCUGAGGUGAAAGGUGACAGAGUGGUGUUUAGUCAGACCAGGAGACAUCCCAUCUGAGGUGAAAGGUGACAGAGUGGUGUUUAGUCAGACCAGGAGACA